rnacentral:rRNA from 1 species
ACUGCUCAGUAACACGUGGAUAACCUGCCCUUGGGUCCGGCAUAACCCCGGGAAACUGGGGAUAAUUCCGGAUACCGCAUAUGUGCUGGAAUGCUUUAUGCGUAAAAUGGAUUCGUCUGCCCAAGGAUGGGUCUGCGGCCUAUCAGGUAGUAGUGGGUGUAAUGUACCUACUAGCCGACAACGGGUACGGGUUGUGAGAGCAAGAGCCCGGAGAUGGAUUCUGAGACAUGAAUCCAGGCCCUACGGGGCGCAGCAGGCGCGAAAACUUUACAAUGCGGGAAACCGUGAUAAGGGGACACCGAGUGCCAGCAACAUUUGCUGGCUGUCCAGGUGUGUAAAAUACACCUGUUAGCAAGGGCCGGGCAAGACCGGUGCCAGCCGCCGCGGUAACACCGGCGGCCCGAGUGGUGAUCGUGAUUAUUGGGUCUAAAGGGUCCGUAGCCGGUUUGGUCAGUCCUCCGGGAAAUCUGAUAGCUCAACUAUUAGGCUUUCGGGGGAUACUGCCAGGCUUGGAACCGGGAGAGGUAAGAGGUACUACAGGGGUAGGAGUGAAAUCUUGUAAUCCCUGUGGGACCACCUGUGGCGAAGGCGUCUUACCAGAACGGGUUCGACGGUGAGGGACGAAAGCUGGGGGCACGAACCGGAUUAGAUACCCGGGUAGUCCCAGCCGUAAACGAUGCUCGCUAGGUGUCAGGCAUGGCGCGACCGUGUCUGGUGCCGCAGGGAAGCCGUGAAGCGAGCCACCUGGGAAGUACGGCCGCAAGGCUGAAACUUAAAGGAAUUGGCGGGGGAGCAC